AACGAACGCUGGCGGCAUGCCUAACACAUGCAAGUCGAACGAGACCUUCGGGUCUAGUGGCGCACGGGUGCGUAACGCGUGGGAACCUGCCUUUAGGUUCGGAAUAACUCAGAGAAAUUUGAGCUAAUACCGGAUGAUGUCUUCGAACCAAAGAUUUAUCGCCUUUAGAUGGGCCCGCGUUGGAUUAGCUAGUUGGGGGGGUAAAGGCCUACCAAGGCGACGAUCCAUAGCUGGUCUGAGAGGAUGAUCAGCCACACUGGGACUGCGACACGGCCCAGACUCCUACGGGAGGCAGCAGUGGGGAAUAUUGGACAAUGGGCGCAAGCCUGAUCCAGCAAUGCCGCGUGAGUGAUGAAGGCCUUAGGGUUGUAAAGCUCUUUUACCCGAGAUGAUAAUGACAGUAUCGGGAGAAUAAGCUCCGGCUAACUCCGUG
rnacentral:rRNA from 1 species